rnacentral:rRNA from 1 species
CGGGGAGGUAACGGACGCGGGCGGAACCUACUCCAUACAGGGGGGUAACAGUUAGAAAUGACUGCUAAUACCGCAUAAGCGCACAGCAUCGCAUGAUGCCGUGUGAAAAACUACCGGUGGUAUGAGAUGGACCCGCGUCUGAUUAGGUAGUUGGUGGGGUAACGGCCUACCAAGCCGACGAUCAGUAGCCGACCUGAGAGGGUGACCGGCCACAUUGGGACUGAGACACGGCCCAA